UAUGUACUCCCUCCGUCCGAAAACUUGUCAUCAAAAUGGAUAAGAAGGGAUGUAUAUGUAACUAAAAUACGUAUAGAUACACCCCCUUUUAUUCAUUUUGAUGACAAGUAUUUUCGGACGGAGGGAGUACUAC
rfam:Triticum aestivum genome assembly, contig: Triticum_aestivum_CS42_TGACv1_scaffold_062755_1DL